UUAUGUCAUAAUGUCUCUGUCCAAACUCCCCAGAUCAUGUUCUACUGAACCCCCUCAGGAUGCAUGGGAAGAAGCCAAAUCCACAGAGGCUUCACUCUGCAACCUGCAGGAUCGAAAGGAUUUGCUUCCCAUUUUUCUGGUGCCAGAAACCGCAGGGCACCAUCAGAGGUCCAUGCCCUGACAGGUCAAAGCUGUUUUGGUGGCACACACGAUACUGGGUGUGUGUGGGCCUGGAGGAGGAUGAGGGGGAGGAGAGAAGGGGUGGUUCUCUAUGCUUGUACCCUGCAGAGCCACUCUCUCCUGGGGUAAGGAUGACAGGAAGUCAGCCAGAUGGCACGGAGCAGGUCUGCAGCAUGUGACCUCCUCUCUGGAGAGGCAGGAAACGAGGAGGAGAAUAGGGCAGAGUGAAGAGGAGCUGGAGGAGGCAGCAUAAGAUUAAGGAAAGGAGAAACCUGCCCAUUGUUUGCUGACACAGAGCUACAGUCUUUUGGUCUACUCGUCUCGAACCGAGUAGCCGUCAUCUGUUGCCAAAAUGUCCGUCAAGAGACAACGACCAAAGCAGAUCUGCUGUAUCACAGGCUUGUCGUCAAAAGAGCUCAGGCUGAAUGAAUAGCUUUUGAAAAACGAUGUUCCCUUGAUGCACACGGAGAGAUCAG
ensembl:lncRNA